rnacentral:rRNA from 1 species
CGGUUACUUAAGCAGGAUGUGAAAUCCCCGGGCUCAACCUGGGAACUGCGUUCUGAACUGGGUGACUAGAGUGUGUCAGAGGGAGGUAGAAUUCCACGUGUAGCAGUGAAAUGCGUAGAGAUGUGGAGGAAUACCGAUGGCGAAGGCAGCCUCCUGGGAUAACACUGACGUUCAUGCUCGAAAGCGUGGGUAGCAAACAGGAUUAGAUACCCUGGUAGUCCACGCCCUAAACGAUGUCAAUUAGCUGUUGGGCAACUUGAUUGCUUAGUAGCGUAGCUAACGCGUGAAAUUGACCGCCUGGGGAGUACGGUCGCAAGAUUAAAACUCAAAGGAAUUGACGGGGACCCGCACAAGCGGUGGAUGAUGUGGAUUAAUUCGAUGCAACGCGAAGAACCUUACCUGGUCUUGACAUGUACGGAAUCCUCCAGAGACGGAGGAGUGCCUUCGGGAACCGUAACACAGGUGCUGCAUGGCUGUCGUCAGCUCGUGUCGUGAG